UACUGCUGCGGAUGUGUGGGUGGAAAAACCAGUCCUAAUGUCUCUUUCAAACACAGGUCCUGGAUGUGUAUAGAAUCAACCAAAUCUCCUCACCUUCCAUGUAAACACUAUUUUUCAUGUGGCAGUAUUCUUGGACAUCACUUUUUAGCCCCAUAUGAGCAGAAGAUGGGAAGGGAAGCGAACGCAAGGCAAGGCAAGAUCACGAUGCUGUGCUGCUGGGCCAGAAGUGAAUAGAACAUCUUGUUACGGAAAUAGCCACGAAAAUGCUCCUCCCUGCAUUAGAAAACCAGCUAUUUAAAGCAGGAUCAAUUGUCAGUCCUCUUUGAUGCUGUUGUCAUUUGGAUAUGGUUUGUGCAAAUAAUAUUUUCUCAUGAAAGAAAACUUCCAGCAAUGACAGCAUUCCCCUGGCCACAUCCCCUACCAAAGGGGAGAAAUCAGCUCAUCCCUGCAAAUGGUGUCUCUCUCAGAAGAGGAACACCAGGAUCUGUGUUUUGUUUUUCCUCUAAGACUUUGGGCGAGUGAAUUUUGACCCCCAAAUGUCAUCAGGGUGGUACAAAUUGGGCACAAUUUCUAAGAUGUGUUGGAGCACUGGAGUUACAUAGGACAGUAUUCAUGUUAAAAUAGAAAUACAUGGAGAAAAUGAACAAACCUAUGUGAUUUAAAGCAAAGCCCACUUUCCCCUAAGAUAUGUAUAAUCAAACAGGAAAUAUAUGCCUUUGAAACAGAUUGCUCUACCUUUACUGAUGUCAGUGAGCAAAAAUGCUUUUAUUCUUGGCUAAUCACAGUGGAGUCACAUCCUUCAAAAAACUGGAAUUAUCAAACAUAGAUCUUCCAGGGAGAUGAACCCAUACUCAGCUUAUGCGCUCUCAAACUUUCCUCAAGCUGAAAUUCACAUCUGUAUCCCAGCUCUACAAUUCAAGCCUGCCGCUGUUUGUUAUUGUUUGCAUUGCUUCAGGGCCCACUUAGGGAUUGUACAAAGUGUUCUUUUUAAAAAAAUAAAUAUUAAAGUGUCCUCACAGCAUUCCAGAGAAGCACACUCCUUCUGUAAGGUGCUGCCUCCUGAUCAUUACAGAAGUACAGAAACUCUGGGGGCUUGAGGAAAAAUGAUUUUACAAUAUUAGGGGCUUGGAGUCAUCCUCAUUUCCAAUUGAAGGGAGAGCGCCAGACCUUUGAGGAGUAUUCAUAUGUUCUACAUAAGGGAACUUAAAGAACUCACUGGGCAGAGGGAUUGGAUGAGAUUUAGGCCACUUGAGCCAUGAUUUUAGAGGUAAGGAUCUCUUCUCGUUCUGACUAAUGAGUCCUAGCAGAGAAAGGGUUGUUGAGCCCUGAAGGCUGUGAAGAUACAACAGAGCUGUUGGAGAUGCCAGAGGUACAGAUCAUCUUCUUGUCUCUCCUAUAUUUGUCUCCUUGCCUCCAAACUCCUUGUUUUAUUUUUAUUGGGAUUUUCUUCAGAUGAACCCUAUUAAACGCAUCACUAGCAUUGAAAUUUGCCGAUGCCAAUAAACCCAUCUGUUUUAUUAACUAA